GACGAACGCUGGCGGCGUGCUUAACACAUGCAAGUCGAACGGAAAGGCCCUGCUUUUGUGGGGUGCUCGAGUGGCGAACGGGUGAGUAACACGUGAGUAACCUGCCCUUGACUUUGGGAUAACUUCAGGAAACUGGGGCUAAUACCGGAUAGGAGCUCCUGCUGCAUGGUGGGGGUUGGAAAGUUUCGGCGGUUGGGGAUGGACUCGCGGCUUAUCAGCUUGUUGGUGGGGUAGUGGCUUACCAAGGCUUUGACGGGUAGCCGGCCUGAGAGGGUGACCGGCCCCAUUGGGACUGAGAGACGGCCCAGACUCCUACGGGGGGCAGCAGGGGGGAAUAUUGCACAAUGGGCGGAAGGCUGAUGCAGCAACGCCGCGUGCGGGAUGACGGCCUUCGGGUUGUAAACCGCUUUCGCCUGUGACGAAGCGUGAGUGACGGUAAUGGGUAAAGAAGCACCGGCUAACUACGUG
rnacentral:rRNA from 1 species